rnacentral:tRNA from 1 species
GCACCCGUAACUCAGUUGGAUAGAGUACUCGGCUACGAACCGGGUUGUCGGGGGUUCAAAUCCUCCCGGGUGCG